rnacentral:rRNA from 1 species
UGGCGACCGGCGCACGGGUGAGUAACACGUAUCCAACCUGCCGAUAACUCGGGGAUAGCCUUUCGAAAGAAAGAUUAAUAUCCGAUAGCAUAUCAAGAUCGCAUGAUUUUGAUAUUAAAGAAUUUCGGUUAUCGAUGGGGAUGCGUUCCAUUAGUUAGUUGGCGGGGUAACGGCCCACCAAGACGACGAUGGAUAGGGGUUCUGAGAGGAAGGUCCCCCACAUUGGAACUGAGACACGGUCCAAACUCCUACGGAAGGCAGCAG